rnacentral:rRNA from 1 species
AAACUCCUUUUAUAUUGGGAAGAUAAUGACGGUACCAUAUGAAUAAGCACCGGCUAACUCCGUGCCAGCAGCCGCGGUAAUACGGAGUGGUGCAAGCUGUUACUCGGAAUCACUGGGCUGUAAAGCGCUGCGCAGGCGGCCUUUCUAAGUUGGAUGUGAAACGCCUAUGGCUCAACACAUAGAACUGCAUACCAAAACUAUCAGGCUAGAGUGUGGAGAGAGGAAGAUGGAAUUAGUUGUGUAGGGGUAAAAUCCGUAGAGAUAACUAGGAAUACCAAAAGCGAAGGCAAUCUUCUGGAACAUUACUGACGCUGAGGCGCGAAAGCGUGGGGAGCAAACAGGAUUAGAUACCCUGGUAGUCCACGCCCUAAACGAUGAAUGUUAGUCGUCGGGUAGCUAGUCUAUUCGGUGAUGCAGCUAACGCAUUAAACAUUCCGCCUGGGGAGUACGGUCGCAAGAUUAAAACUCAAAAGGAAUAGAACCGGGGGACCCGCAACAAGUGGUUGGAGCAUGUGGUUUAAUUCGAAGAUUACGCGAAGAACCUUACCUAGCCUUGACAU